AAAACAAAGAAAGAUUGAUUAUCUUAAAGGCUACAACUGAUACUGCAGAAAUUAUCCUCGCAAAGGUGAAUUAGAGAUACCCCAUUGAGAAGCCUUGCAUAUAAAUAGAAUACAACUGAAUCUAUAUUCUGUAGCUUCUUGAUCAUGACAUGGAAACAAUAUAAUACCACCAAGGAUUUACAUUGAUAACGUAAACUAGUGUUAUACAAAAUAGAAUAACCUUUGAUAAAUGUAAAAAUAGAGAACAAUAAUACAACCAAAUCUGCACCCGCAGUUAUUUUGUUCAACUCUCCCACAACCCCCACCCAAAGUAAGCAUCUAAAAGAAAUAGUGAAACUUCAAUCACCGUAUUCCUUUCUUCCUUUUCAUUUUUUCUUAAAUUAAGUCCUAUAAUACAUUACUAUAUUAUAUGCAGUUUAAAUACUUGUGUGUAUAAAACAUCCUUAAGAUACUGUAAUGCCAUCUUUGUUUAUGCUAUGAGAGUUGGAAUCAAGGAGAUUCUCAAGUGACCUGGCUUUUCUGCUACGAACUCUUCCUGCUUCUUUCAAUAACUCAGCUAACCUCUUCUUCUCAUCAUCUACAUCUGGAUUUGCUGUCCCAAGUUUUUCCUCCCUCACCCCAACAACGUGUUCCAACAUCUCAAUUGCAUCAUCCAACCUGCCCAUUGCAUCAUAAGUUCCAGCAAGAUUGCUAUAUACCCCAAGAGUGUCAGGGUGAUAUGGUCCACACUCUUGUUCCAAAAUACUCUUAGCUUCUUCAAACAACUCUGCAGCCUCACUAAUAGAGUAACGUUGCACACAAGCAAGUCCCAUUUGGUUAAGAGCAAUGCCAAAGAAAGCAGUUUUCCUCUCUCCACUUGCACGGAGCUUUGAAAUUGCAUCCUUGAAGUAGCUGUAAGAUUCAGAAUAAUUCCCCAGCAUGUAGUACAUGACCCCCAGUUGGGCUUCAAUUCCGGCAAUUGUGCUCUGCUGACCAGGGGCAUCAUUAUAUAUUUUUAAUGCCUUCUGCAGCAACUUGAUUGCUUGCUCAAGCUCAUUCAUUGAUUCAUAUAUAGCAGAAACAUCAGUGAGACCAGUUGCAAUCUCCUCUGGAGGGAUGCCAGGCAUGGGUUUUUCAUAGAUCCGAAGGGCAUUCUCACAGUAUGAUUUAGAUUCUUUUAAUUUCCCAGUUUUGUUGUAUAAAUCAGCCAGGCGUACAAAUACUGAAGCAACAGCUGGAUGAUUCUCUCCUUUUGCGGUCUUAAAAGCGGUGAGAGCUUUUUGAUAAGCAAAAGCAGCCUCAUCAUAUCUAGACAAAGAUAAGUAAGCAUCUCCAAUGCUACAAUCAACAGAGGCAACCUCAGAUUCCUGGUCAUUCGCCACCAUUGCCAUGCUAGCUAAAACAAGAUGCUCAAGAGCUGCUUCAUGAUCUCCCUUUGUUUCACGUAUGAGACCCAUAAGCCUCCGAUCAGCAACCUCUUCGAGAGAAGCGGGUGUGCCAUUCUCUAUAUGGAUGUCUAGAGCCAUCUCACAAAGCCUCUGAGCUUCAUCAAACUGUAAUGCUUGAACAUGGGCUUCAGCCAAAUACCUACAGGUCUCACCAACUCGAGGGUCUGUUUCUCCCAGAACUUGUUUCUGGACUUCCAACCCAGUUGAGUAGCACUUUGUUGAAUUCUCAAGUUGGCCCAGCAUUGCGUAAGUAUCACCCAACUGCAUGUGACCAGCAAACUUAGCAAGGGCAUGCUCUUGGCCUUCCUCAAUCACCGGAAUCUCAAUUGAGUGCUCAAGAACAGGAAUGGCUUUGUUAUAUUGGCCUAUGCUGCAGUAUAUUGCUGCCACAACAUGCAGGCUCAUCACCAAUUCUAAACUGGGUUUCCCAUUUGCACAAAUUUCAAAUGAUUUGGCUGCUCGAAGAGCUAAUUCAAGAGCCUUCUGGGGAUUAUCCCCUGAAGAAAUCAAAUCCCUUGCUUGCUUUAGCAAAAAUCGUCCAAGAUCUGGAUUGUCCAACCCUGAUUCAGAUGAAUCCUCAGCUUCAUUCUUUAACUUCAAACCUCCUAAAGGAGAAUUCCUUCGCUUCUUUGCUGAUUUGACUACUCCAUUUGCUUUUUUCAAAUUCUUAUCAUUUCGCUUAUCAAUAGGGGGUUUCUCUGGAGGACUUUUGCCCUUGGGACUCAACUUUGCUGAUGCUUCAGAGUCCAAUGCUAAGUGAGAACCUUUCUUUGAGGUGUUAGAAGAAAUGGAUUUGGUACUUGCAGAUUGGUUCCUGUCCAAUUUUCCUGACUUCUUACUCCCAGAUGAACCUGCCUUCGUAGAAGAGGAGAUACUAUGAGUGUCAUGCUCUGGCUUGUCUACCUCUUCCUCUUCCAUUAUCUCAACCUCUCUCAUUUCUCCUCCCACAAGAUGUCGCAAUUCUAAGUCAAUCCGAGACUCCUCACCAUCAGAUCCAAAACUAUGCCUCGAAGGCGAUAGAUCAGAACUCUGCAUAUCACAGACAUUCUCAUAAAGCUGCUCAAUGGAGGUGUCAACCACACCAUGAACAGUCCCAUCAACAGCCACCUCACCAACAGGCACCCUACCAGCAGGAAAAUCUAGGCCUGUGUUGUGAGGGCUCUGCGGACUCAAUUUACUCCUGGGGGACUUAUUUGACUCCGCAUUUUCUUUAAUGGGCACAGAAUUUCCAUCCAUUUCAUCAACUACUGCUUCCUCAUUAAUUCUAUCUGUUACCAUUCCAGGCAUCCUUAUCUUCGCAAAUCAGCAGAAACACUGAAUUCUAGUAAAUUUCCUCAGAAACCAGCCAUGAAGGAAGAUACCAAGGUUAUAAAUUAUCUAACUUCUAAACGAAAGAUAGAGCAAGAUAUUCAGGCACAUAUAUACGCACAGAAAAAAUCCAUAUUUUGGUUUGUGUGUAUAUAAAAGGACGAGGGGUAGGAAAGAAGAUAAAAACAAGGUUUGAAGAAAAGAACAGGGCUAAGAUGGGAAUUUUGAAAAAAAGUAAUCAAUAUAGAAUAUCAAAGAGGGUAAAAAAUUUUCAGAGGUGGAAUGUCAGAAGAGGGAAAGGGGACUUCCCUCCCACCCAAACAGAGCGAAAGACCUGCAACUGCCGACCUGCUUCCUGUCUGUAUUUUUCCUGUUUAACUGGACUUUGCCACGUUGCCUUAGGUAACUUGGGU
rnacentral:misc_RNA from 1 species